GCUCCUGCUCAGUCAGUCCACCUUUGGGAGAGUGCGGAGUCCUGCCACAGGAAGGCAGGAAGGAGACAGCCUGGGCAGACCCCAAGGAAACAUCCACCAGGCAGAUAAGGCACGUCCCACGCUCGCACUCACACCCACUCCAAAAUCCCAGCCGCUCACAAGCCCAGUAUUUACAGUGUUCUUCGUCAAGGGGGCAAGUAACGCCUCCUUCGAAAGGUCUGGGGCCCCCAAAGCCAGAGUGUAUCGGCCUGUCCUGGGCCCCUGGGAGGGCCGGGCCCUCCUCAUCCAUCCCAGGGUCCCCCAGAGAGCAAACGCUUCAGUCUCGCCCAGGCUGGGAAGGCAGGCCUCUGCAUCCCACCCAGAUGCUCUGGGUCCCAGUUUUACCAGAAUACCUCCCAGAGGCCAGGGAGUCAAAGGGGACCCUGCUGGCAGAGGGGAAGCGAGCUCUUUGGGGGACUGGCCACAAAGCUCUAGUGCCCCUAAAGCCCCCAUGUCUUCUUUUCCUAGGGUGGCUCCUUGGCAGCCCCUAGUCUGAGGCCUAAUGCCAGGCAGAGAAGCAGGCCCGGGGCUCCUGCCCCCGCUCCACCAAGGCCGCCCUGCUAACGGACUGCGAGAAUGCCCAGCCUGGCCCAGGUGAUGGUGGCUGCCAGAGGUCCAGAGCUUAGGAACAGACAAGGCAGAGAAUGGGGAGGGGAGGGAAGCUCAGUAACCCCAGGCUUUGCAGAGCUGGAGGUAGCGCCCCUGGGGCAGGCUUGGGGCUUUUCGGAACCAAUGGGACGUUCACUCACCGCCUGAAUGGCUUCUGAGGAUGGACACACACCUCCACUGCUCCACGUUGGCGAGCUUACUACUGGAACCGAAGACCGUGCUGGGGCCGAUGUACCUGGGGGAGAGAGAAUCCCAGAGGUCACCCCCUGUUCUCAGCGAACA